AGUGAACGCUGGCGGUAGGCCUAACACAUGCAAGUCGAACGGCAGCACAGUAAGAGCUUGCUCUUACGGGUGGCGAGUGGCGGACGGGUGAGGAAUACAUCGGAAUCUACUUUUUCGUGGGGGAUAACGUAGGGAAACUUACGCUAAUACCGCAUACGACCUACGGGUGAAAGCAGGGGAUCUUCGGACCUUGCGCGAUUGAAUGAGCCGAUGUCGGAUUAGCUAGUUGGCGGGGUAAAGGCCCACCAAGGCGACGAUCCGUAGCUGGUCUGAGAGGAUGAUCAGCAACACUGGAACUGAGAAACGGGCCAGACUCCUACGGGGGGCAGGAGGGGGGAAAAUUGGAAAAUGGGGGAAAGCCUGAACCAGCCAUACCGGGGGGGUGAAGAAGGCCUUCGGGUUGUAAAGCCCUUUUGUGGGGAAAGAAAAGCAGCAGGUUAAAACCCCGCUGUUCUGACGGUACCAAAAGAAUAAACACCGGCUAACUUCGU
rnacentral:rRNA from 1 species